UACGAAGGGGGCUAGCGUUGCUCGGAAUCACUGGGCGUAAAGCGCACGUAGGCGGCUUUUUAAGUCAGGGGUGAAAUCCUGGAGCUCAACUCCAGAACUGCCUUUGAUACUGGCGAGCUUGAGUUCGGGAGAGGUGAGUGGAACUGCGAGUGUAGAGGUGAAAUUCGUAGAUAUUCGCAAGAACACCAGUGGCGAAGGCGGCUCACUGGCCCGAUACUGACGCUGAGGUGCGAAAGCGUGGGGAGCAAACAGG
rnacentral:rRNA from 1 species